UACGAAGGGGGCUAGCGUUGCUCGGAAUCACUGGGCGUAAAGGGUGCGUAGGCGGGUCUUUAAGUCAGGGGUGAAAUCCUGGAGCUCAACUCCAGAACUGCCUUUGAUACUGAGGAUCUUGAGUUCGGGAGAGGUGAGUGGAACUGCGAGUGUAGAGGUGAAAUUCGUAGAUAUUCGCAAGAACACCAGUGGCGAAGGCGGCUCACUGGCCCAUAACUGACGCUGAGGCACGAAAGCGUGGGGAGCAAACAGG
rnacentral:rRNA from 1 species